rnacentral:rRNA from 1 species
CGGCGGACGGGUGAGUAACGCGUGGAUAACCUGCCUCACACAGGGGGAGUAACAGUUAGAAAUGACUGCUAAUACCCGCAUAAGCGCACGGUACCGCAUGGUACAGUGUGAAAAACUACCGGUGGUGUGAGAUGGAUCCGCGUCUGAUUAGGUAGUUGGUGAGGUAACGGCCCACCAAGCCGACGAUCAGUAGCCGACCUGAGAGGGUGACCGGCCACAUUGGGACUGAGACACGGCCCAAACUCCUACGGGAGGCAGCAUG